GAGAUGAGUGUGAUUCCAAACCUGCGUCACUAGGAGAGUAUUUAGAAGUUGAACGGAGGUUGGGAGACGGAGCAUUUGACGGCGGUGCAGCGGCGGAACUUGAAGGUGUUGUUAUCGAUGCUCAGCCAACAAACGGAAGGACGUUAUUCGCCGACGGCAGAGUUCUGCCGCCGGUGGAAGUUGAGGAAGAGUCAUCGUCGGCGGGAGCCCUAGGGUUGUGUAGAUUCUCGGUGGCGUCACUUUCGGGAAUCUGUAGCCGUG
rnacentral:misc_RNA from 1 species